UACGUAGGGGGCAAGCGUUGUCCGGAUUUAUUGGGCGUAAAGAGCGUGUAGGCGGCCAGGUAGGUCCGUUGUGAAAACUCGAGGCUCAACCUCGAGACGUCGAUGGAAACCAUCUGGCUAGAGUUCGGAAGAGGAGAGUGGAAUUCCUGGUGUAGCGGUGAAAUGCGCAGAUAUCAGGAAGAACACCCGUGGCGAAGGCGGCUCUCUGGGACGGUACUGACGCUGAGACGCGAAAGCGUGGGGAGCGAACAGG
rnacentral:rRNA from 1 species